GGCUGGGUAGCUUAGUUGGUAAAGUGCUCAUUUAGCAUACAAGAGUCCUGGGUUCAAAUCCCAGCCGAGCAC
rnacentral:tRNA from 1 species